GUCACAUCUACUACUGAUAGACUCCUGUGUGGACAUUUCCAGAAUAUACUCGAACAAUGACAUUGGUUGCUGUAGUGUUACCUUUCCUCUUCUGUGUAGCAUUAUUGUCUGAUGGGUAUUUGACAGAGGCUAUAGAGCUUUGUAGUCAACGACAGGAUGAAAACGGAGGAUGCUUAGGGAUAGUACGUACGAAACAUAUUACAGACAAAAUCGUAAGGAGAAGCAGGAAUGCUGAAGAAUUGGCUAUACCUCCAAAAUAAUGACUUGUAACAUUUCGUGUAACACGUCAAAAAAUAGAAGGAAUAAAUAAUUUCCAUAGUA